UCCCAGCUAGUAUAGUGGUGAGUAUCCGCGCCUGUCACGUGCGAGACCAGGGUUCGAUUCCCUGGCUGGGAG
rfam:Rhabditophanes sp. KR3021 genome assembly, scaffold: RSKR_scaffold0000030